UUGUGAAGAUUCUGUAGUUCUGGUUA
rnacentral:piRNA from 1 species